rnacentral:misc_RNA from 1 species
AUUGCAGGGGGCUUGGUAGGCCUUCUGUAAUUCGAUCAUUAAAAAAAUUGUUAAGGCUUGAAGCUCCCAAAAUUUUGUUUCUUAUGGAAACAAAAUUAAGUGUAGAAAUGAGCCACGUUCAAUAGAAAUUAGGCCAUCAGCAAGGAAUUGAUGUUGAUUAUGAAAUAAGGGUAGUUAGGAGGGGAAGGUUAAGUAUUAUGUGGAUAUUUGAUGUAUCAGUGUGGUUUCAGUCUUUCUCAAGUCGCCAUAUUGAUAUUGUGGUCAAUGGGUGUUAGAGGUUCACUAGGAUUUAUGGAUGGCCUGAGGACUCACAAAAGCAUAAUUCUUGGCACUUGUUGACUACUUUAAGGAUUCAAAGUUCUUUGCCUAGGUGAUGUGGGGGUGUCUUUAAUGAGAUAUUGUUCAUGAAUGAAAAAUGUGGAGGGAAUAUUCGAUACUACAGGCGUAGGGAUGAAUUUCGUAAUGCUCUUAAUUCUUAUGCUUUAGAUGAUUUGGGUUUUAAAGGAAACAAGUUCACCUGGAGUAAUAGGCCGGGUGGUCAGGCUAAUAUUCGAGAAUGUUGACAAAUUUGUUGCCAUUGCUGCACGAAUGAGUCUUUUUCCAAACUUUAAGGUGGAUCAUUUGCUUAGACAAGGAUCGGAUCAUUGCUCAAUCUGGUUGAGCUGGAGUAGAUGUAGUGGCAUUGGUAGAAAAAGAAAUAGGCCUUUUCAUUUUGAAAAUAUGCGGAUGAGACAUAAGUCGUGUAGAAGUGAUUGAGGAGGCCUGGAGGGAGGGUAGAGCAUGGAGUGGU